GGAAUCUUCUCAUCGACCGGCAUAUUGGGCAUCACAUAGGACCGCAGCUCCACGUCUCCUCUUGGCUUUUCAAGAAUCACAACCUUAAAGAAGCUACUUUGAAAUAUCUCGAUCAGUGCUUCUCAAGAGCAUAUUGAGAGGCUUUUACCGGGAGGCUUGAGCAGCUGUUAUACAGUGCGUGACUCACCUGUGGUGACACAUUGCUCAGGUAGAAGGUGUCAUCCAUGGCUUUCUGACUC